GAUGAACGCUGGCGGCGUGCCUAAUACAUGCAAGUCGAGCGAACAGACGAGGAGCUUGCUCCUCUGACGUUAGCGGCGGACGGGUGAGUAACACGUGGAUAACCUACCUAUAAGACUGGGAUAACUUCGGGAAACCGGAGCUAAUACCGGAUAACAUGUUGAACCGCAUGGUUCAACAGUGAAAGACGGUUUUGCUGUCACUUAUAGAUGGAUCCGCGUCGCAUUAGCUAGUUGGUAAGGUAACGGCUUACCAAGGCAACGAUGCGUAGCCGACCUGAGAGGGUGAUCGGCCACACUGGAACUGAGACACGGUCCAGACUCCUACGGGAGGCAGCAGUAGGGAAUCUUCCGCAAUGGGCGAAAGCCUGACGGAGCAACGCCGCGUGAGUGAAGAAGGUCUUCGGAGCGUAAAACUCUGUUAUUAGGGAAGAACAAAUGUGUAAGUAACUAUGCACGUCUUGACGGUACCUAAUCAGAAAGCCACGGCUAACUACGUG
rnacentral:rRNA from 1 species